AGAGCACAGUGGGAGGGACAAGGACCAGGAUAUAAACCCAGGCAUUUGAGCCAGCAACGGCAACCUCCUUUGAGUCCCCUCCCUUUGUAUAGGAGCUCUGUUUUCACUGUGUUUCACUCUAUUAAAUCUUGCAAUUGCACUCUUCUGGUCCAUAUUUGUCACGGCUUGAGCUGAGCUUUCACUUGCCGUCCACCACUACUGUUUGCUGCUGUCACAGACCCGCCGCUGACUCCCAUCCCGCUGCUGACUCCCAUCCCUCCGGAUCCGGCAGGGUGUCCGCUGUGCUCCUGAUCCAGCAAGACUCCCAUUGCCACUCCCGAUAGUGCUAAAGGCUUGCCAUUGUUCCUGCAUGGCUAAGUGCCUGGGUUCGUCCUAAUCCAGCUGAACACUAGUCACUGGGUUCCACGGUUCUCUUCCAUGACCCGCGGCUUCUAAUAGAGCUAUAACACUCACCACAUGGCCCAAUAUUCCAUUCCUUGGAAUCCGUGAGGCCAAGAACCCCAGGUCAGAGAACACGAGGCUUGCCACCAUCUUGGAAGCAGCCUGCCACCAUCUUGGAAGUGGCUCACCACCGUCUUGGGAGUUCUGUGAACAAGGACCCCUGGUAACAUUUUGGCGACCACGAAGGGACAUCCAAAGCUCUUAACUAAUGCUUGUGAUGUUUAACGCCUGUCUUUUCAACUUGGUCUACUGAGUCUUCAAUACUGGUGACUGAGCUGCUUGAAGUGAACUCUGGACAAGGUGGAGAGCAUCUUCUUGAUUUAAGAGAUGCAACUAUCUACAAAGGACAACCUUAUCCACGAUAUCCUGAAAUAAGUGCUUUCUCCAUCUUUCCCCAGAUGAUUUCUUUGUUUACCUGCCUCUACAAAUCCCAGUUUGGUGCCAUGACUUGGACAGAAUUGGAUCUAACCCUUAAAGCCCUAUGUUCUCUAUCUAGUUAGCAAGGCCUCUAAGUUUCCAUUGUGCUCCAGAUGAAGAACUCAGAGGACAGCUCCUGACCCUGUGUUCCAGACUCCUGUACAACAGCAACACUGGUCGACAAUAGCACUCAUUGACUUUGAUACUUAUGAGUUCUCAAAAAGACAGAAAGGAUAUGACAAGAAAUAAAAAAAAAAAUUAUUUCUGGUGCCAGCUUAUUUCAGUUUUAUGGCUUGAUCACUUGUUGAUCUCUUUAAACAGAUGGUUUAUAAAUAACUUGUCUUUUUGGGUGAAAGACAACACAGAUAUCUAGUUUUUGUUUGUUUGUUUGUUUGUUUGUUUUCUAUUUGCCUAUUGUGAGCUCAGGUCAAUUAACAAGUUGUACUUAAUGGGAAAAGAAAAGCCCCUUGAUAUAAACUAUUGAGUUUUGAGUUUUGUAUUUCUGUGUGUGUGCUUGGCCCAUGGUAGAUAUUUAUAAUUGAAGCUGUUAUCUCCUUAUCUGUGUCUAUGUAUGCUUGUGUUUUGAGGGUGUGUAAUAUUUUCCUAUCUCUGGAUGCUGUUACCAAAUUUGACUACAAAAUAUUCUAAAAUGGCUCUGUUCUGUUUGGCUUAGAGAUAAAUGCCAGUUACAUAAUUUGAAUAUAUCUAAAAUACUUUUAAAUUUCCCACACAAUAAAGAAAUUGUCAUGAGACACUGCUAGGAGUAAUACUGACAGCAGUCCAACUUUAUGUGUGAAGUACAUGGUAUGCAUUUUUUGUUAAGGAAAAAUAUAGUAGUUUUGUACCAAGUAAAAGGUAUUGGUGGUUGCAAAUGAGAAAGAGGAAAAUUCAGGACAAAACCUACUUGUAUAGAAAAUUAUAGAACUAAUGGAAAUGGAAUUUUUGCCAAGGCCAAACUGGCUAUGGAUUGAUAGGUUUAUUUAUAAGAUUCUCAAACAGAUUUCAGUGUCAAAUAUAGUUAUGCCUUUCGUACAUUUCGGUAAACAACAUAACCACAUAUAUGACAAUGAUCUUAUAAUAUUGUAAUACUAUACUUUUACUGUACCUUUUCUAUGUGUAGAUAUGUUUAGUAUACAAAUACUUACAAUUUUAUUACAAUGACUGAUAGUAUUCAGUACAGUAACAUGUUGUACAGGUUUGUAGCCUAGAAACAAUAUGCUAUACUAUAUAGCCUGGGUGUGUAGUGAGCUAUAUCAUCUAUGUUUAUGUAAAUACACUCCAUGAGGUUCAAACAAUAACAAAAUAAACUAAGGACACAUUUCUCAGAAUGUGUCCCCAUCAUUAAGUGAUGCAUGACUGUAUUGUGAUGAUGCAAAGUUUAACUUUGGCUUUCUCUUUCUUAAAAGGACAUUUUCUUGAAUUAUUGGUUUGCUUUUAAUAGAAGAUUGUGAAAGAUUUUUCUUUACUUUCUGUGUAAUCUGAAUAGAUAACAGUGAUUUUAUGUUUUACCAGAACAUCCUUCCAUGGUUUAUAUUGAUUGUAUUAUGUCCUUGACUAUUUAAAAAAAAAAAACAAAGGUGUCUUACUUGGGAACAGAGAUUUUAUGUUUUACCAGAACAAACUUCCAUGGUUUAUGUUGAUUGUAGUAUGCUCUUGACUAUAACAAAGGUGUCUGACUUAGGAGGUAGCUAAGGUGCUUUACAAUCAUAUCACUUCCACUGUUUACUUUUAAAAGUAUUUUAUUUUCACUUUGGAUUGAAAGCCAGCCAAGUAUUUUUUCUUAAAAUUUGUGAUCCUAUCUUAAUUAAGUGUUCAUAUAUUUUAACAACAUUUGAUAUUUUGCCCUCUCAAUAUUGAAUACUAGUUUUAUCUUUUGGACCUAAAGUUGUCUUUAAUAUUUCCCAGCGAACCCUGGAAAAUUACAAAUAAUGUGUUCUGUCACCUUGCAAAAAGUGCUAGAAAUGAUUAGGUUUAUUUCAUACAUAAUUUUGGAUUCGUUUCAUGAGAAGAGUUCUUAAAUCAGAAGAGAUACUGACCCUUCUGCAGGUUGAAUUUGUAUGGAAAACUAUUAUUAAUGUAAAUAUUUGAGAAGUUUUAUGGCAUUUGGGAAGUUCCUAAAAAAAUCAGCAAUGCCCUCACAGUUCAAAUUUUUAUAUUUAUCAGCCUUGGCACUACAUUGACUGAUAUUAGACAAAAACUGUACAUAUUAUUAGUCAUAAUUUCAGAGAUUUUGUAUGUUAACUUUGUUAAAGUGUGCCCCCGGCUGACAAACAAAAUGGACUCCUCCUGGCUCACUGAGGUGUUUAAAAUUGAAACAGAAUCAAGUAGCCAUGGCUGGUGAGGGAGUAGUCACUACACUUUGUUCUUGGAAAGAAACUGUAAAAGUGUAAUGGGACCUCUUUUUCUACAAUCAAGCCAAACUAGUUUUUGUUGUCAGUGCUGAGAUAAACUGCAGGUGAAAAUUCCCCAACUGACCACCAACAGACCACCUAGAACCAGCCAAUCAAAGAGACUGGUGAUUUUGAGCUUAAAGGUCACCUGAAGAAGGCUCUGUUCCUCAAUCCCUAACUCUGUUGCCUGUCCUGUGGAUUUUGCCUUUAUAGUCUUUAAAUCUCCAAUCCCCAAUCAAGGGAAAUUUCCUUUUACACUGAGGCUGCAUCUCCUGAAUUGUCAGAUUUUUUUAUAGAAAAUAUAGCUCUUCUUUUUAUCUCCAUAGAUCUCAUGAUCUUUUGUAACACUAAGACCCACUUUAUUUUUUACAUUUGAAUCUAACACCUAAGUAAGUGAUUUUUAUUUGUGGAUUCACAUCACUUGUUGAUGGAGUUUAUUAAUACAGAUAUUUUGUACCUACUCCAAACUAAGUAUCUUUACUUAGUAUUCCUUUUUAACUGCUAUUUUUAUUUUAUUGUAGUAAGAACACGACAUAAGAUCAAUCUUCUUAAGAGAUUUUUAAGUGUACUAUAUAAUAUUGUUAACUGUAGGUAUAACGUUAUAUCCUUGGUAUAUUCUGAAUUUGUUCUUGGUAUUAUAUCCAUGGUUAAUUAGGUCUCAGGAUUAUGGAUUUUAUCUGAAUAUUCUUUUGGUAAAGAUUGUGUGCCUCUAGUUUUAGAUAAUAGAUAUAAUAUCCACUAAUCUUUGAAAAUAGUGUUAUUAUAUUAACAGAAUUUUUGAUUGACUUUUAUUUUGUUUUGUAUGUGACCAAAAGAACAAAAUUUUUGGUCAGUUAUACUACACUUGUUAUGAAUUCUCAUCAAUCUUUCACUUUUGAAAUUUUUCUAUAGUAAGUUAAUCACAGCUACUUUAUGUCUUUUGUCAUGUACAAAGAGCUUUUGAUUUUACUUUGAUGUAUUCCUGAAAGCACUUACAAAGUACUUCCUCUUCAACAAAGGACUGUCUCAGAUUCCCAUGGAAAAAGCUGUGUCAGGUAACCUCUGGAUAGAGAUAUUGAAUGGCAGUAUUUAAACAACUUAGAUACCAUAUGAGUGGACUGAGUCAGAAUUUCCAAACUUUAGCCAAGAAACAGAUGAGUUUAUGAGACUGCUAACCCAGAAUGGAGCAGGGCAAAAAUUAAUUACAUAGGACAUAAACAAAUGAAGGAAGAUCAUUUUUGCUUGGAUAUUGUCAAUGUUCUAAUGUUGUAUUUUCAGAGUAUAAAACUUUGUCUUUUCUCCUAAAUUAUUAAAACUCAUAGUAAUCUGGUAGCUUAAACUUUUGGAAAUAAAAGCAAAAUAUUUCAAAAUGAUGUAUUUUUCUCCCUGCUUAACAACUCCACAAUUCAGAUACUCUGAUCAAAUUUUGUUAUUCCCAUGAUAAUUACCAUAUUUUCACAUGGGAUCAACAAGAAUCCAUCCUCCUUGUUAAUAGACAUGGCUCUAAGUGGUAACACACUUGCCCAUAAAGUAGGAAUGUGCAAUUCUGGUGAAUAUUCUCAAGUGUCCUUAUAUUUGUGCAUUAACUUUUCACAUACUUUAUUUCUUUAUGUCUCUGUAAGUAAUUUCUUGGAUGGAAAAAAAAGACACUAUACAUGACUGAUUAGCAAUAUUAUUUACCAACGAACCCACAGACAGAUGAGAGAAUCAAAAACCUGUGCAAGAAAAUAGAUUCUUUCCAUUUUUCUAAAGGAGAGCUGAAGUACAAAAUCUCAGGAAUACUUUCCCUAUUAGAAUGUGAUGCCCUGAAGUCAUGAUUACAUAAAUAGUAAACUCAGGUGGGAAAGCUAUACUGUGGUAAACAUAUGGUGAAUAUGGUAGCAAAGAGUAUAGACAACUGAGUAGGAGUUGAAUGUGAGGACACUAGCAGGAGGAAUUUAUAUCUUCUCCAUUGUGUCUUUAGCCUUCUUAGUCUGAAGCUUAGUUUAGGACAUGCAUGAUAUAUCAUCAUGUUUACUAAAAUAAAUCCAAACAUUGAACUUAAUGAAAUCUGAAGUUAUUUAAAUUAUUGUAUGAACUAACAAUUCCAGUUUGCUUAACCUUGAAGCCUCAUUAAUGCUACAUUAAUUAUAGUAAAUAAAAUUUUAACAUUAUUACAAAUAAUAAUAUAUUAGUGUCACGUGAUACUUAGGGUGUUGCUUCACCAGCCAGAAACCUCUGGGGCUGGUGGUGCCUCCUGCCUCAGUAUUGCUCAUGCCCACUGGGCUCAUUCCUCCCACUCAGCCCAUCAGUCUGCACUCGGCUCACACUACUGACCCAGAUCCCAUGUCUACCAAGGGCAAACCAGGCAUGGAGUUGUGAGAGGUGUGUGAGCAAGCAAGUACGAGGUCCAGUCACUGCACAUAGCCAGGCAUGCAAGCUGCUGUGGCACGGCAGUCAGCUCCAGGAACUGGCACCAGUACCAGCUCUGUGCGAGGCUGCAGCCAGACCAGACAUACCACAGGCAGCUUCUGCUGUGGGCACCAGUGUCUGGACAAGGGGAUCACCAUGGCUCCUGAACACUCAGAGAUGCUAAAAACUUCAGAGCCCCAAGGAGGGUGUUACAGCCCUACUUCAUGGAGCCCCUAGGUCUGGGAUCCCUGAAGGGCUGUGACCCUUCUCUCCUCAUCAUCCACAAUGUGGGAAGGCAGGGAUGUGUUUCAGCCCUGUUUGUGUUAUAUCUCUUUCAGUUCUGCUAUUUGGUGGGUUGAGAGUUCUUGUCCAGUGUCCAGGAAGAAUGAGGUACAGAGAAAACUGGAGGGUGAGCAAAGCAGAUAGGAGCUUCACUGAGCAACAGAACAGCUCUCAGGAGACCUGAAGUGAGUAGCUCCUUUCCAAAGGCAGGUCAUCCCUACAAGUAUCCAACUGUCAGAGGGUAGGAGACCCAUAGUGGAUAGCUCCUUUCCAAAGGCAGGUCAUCGCAACGAGUUCACGAGAUCCAAAGUGGGCAGCUCCUUACCACAGCUGGUAGUCCCCAUGUCUGUCUGAGUCUGGGGUUUUUAUGGGCUGAGAAAGGAGAAAGUGCAUGCUGAUUGAUCCACGGACAGCCAUGGAUGGGCCUCCAAAAAGCACCAUCUGAUUAGUGGAAUUGUCAUCAAUGAAGUUCUCACUCUGGGCCACAGACUUUGUCUAGAGCAGGCAACCUGGCCCCCAGGCUUCAAGCAUUCCUUGACCUGAAGGUGGGCAGGGACCUGCCCCUUUCCACCCAGAAAUGUCUGCCUCCCACCAGCAACAUGCCUCCACAACACCCAGGCUGUUUGUACCCACAGGAGCCUGUAGGUCCAUGCUUAGCUGCCCUCAGUCACUUGGCCUCUCUCCCAUGCUCAUCAGUGCCCAAAGUCUGGAGGGCUCCAAGGUGGCAGGGAGGCGUUACUGUGCUCAGGCUUGGCCACAACUUUGCUCCAAAAUUGGAGUGAGCACUGGGAGCAGGGAGAGGCCAGGCAGCAGAAGCAGUCACUUCCAAGCCUGCAGGGGCAGGAGGGGCCUUCCUGGGCACCCCAGAGCACAGGGAUGCUCAGGUCCAGAGCCGCAUCUAAGACUACAGGGCUCCUACCCCACCAACUUGGUAAGAGGCAGGGCUCCUGCCUUUUCCUGUCUCCUGCUGGCCCUGCAGAGCACACAAUCCUGACCAUGCCUUCCCUACUGCAGCCAGCGUCUUCACAGCCACUGCUCCAGAUGGGUCGCCACUGCCAUUAUUAAGGUGACAACUUUUUGUAUUGCACUUAAAAGAGUUUACUGUCUUCAACAUUAUUUUGACUGUUUCUUGUAGAAAAUGGAGUUAAGGUAAUAUAGUACGUGAGUUUCUUACAAUUACUUUAUGUUUUGACAGCUAUUGUAAAUUGUUUAUAAUAUUAAUGUUACAGAAACUGUUUAAAUACUAUCAACAAUCUGUCAAGUGUUUGAAGUUAGAGAUUAUGCAAUUAAAAUAGAUGUUAUGUCAUGUCUAAAAUAAAG
rnacentral:lncRNA from 1 species